ACCAUCUGAGGUUACAGUCUUACAGAGACGACUGUUGGUCCAAGUCCAGUGGUUUUUUAUUGGUAAAAAAAAAAAUCCCAAAAAAAUGGCCGGGGAACUGGAACAAGGCAUGGAGAAUUCAUGCAUUUACAAGAAUCGUAACGAGCCCGUGGAGGCUAGAAUCAAAGAUUUGAUCUCUCGAAUGACCGUGGAAGAGAAGAUCGGCCAGAUGGCUCAAAUCGGGCGAAGCGUCGCUACUCCUUCCGUCGUCCGCAAAUUCUUCAUCGGGAGUGUACUGAGUGGUGGUGGAAGUAUCCCAUUCGAGAAGGCACUGUCAUCAGAUUGGGCGGACAUGGUGGAUGGAUACCAGAAGGCAGCACUUGAGACGCGGCUUGGAAUUCCGAUUAUAUAUGGGAUUGACGCUGUUCAUGGCAACAACAAUGUCUAUGGUGCUACAAUAUUUCCUCACAACAUCGGCCUUGGAGCCACCAGAGAUGCAGAUUUGGCGUAUAAAAUUGGUGUGGCAACUGCUCUUGAAGUUAGGGCUAGUGGCGUUCACUAUGAUUUCGCUCCCUGUGUUGCUGUAGCCAGAGAUCCCAGAUGGGGAAGAACUUAUGAGUCUUAUAGUGAAGAUGUCGACAUUGUUAGAAAGAUGACUUCCAUUGUAUCAGGCUUGCAAGGUCAACCACCCAAAGGACAUCCAAAUGGUUACCCUUUUGUUAAUGGAAGAAAUAAAGUUGCAGCAUGCGCCAAACAUUUUGUUGGCGAUGGAGGCACUCACAAGGGCAUAAAUGAGGGCAAUACCUUAACGUCUUAUGAGGAUUUGGAGAAGAUCCACAUGGCACCUUAUCUGGACUGUAUUUCUCAGGGAGUGUGCACAGUUAUGGCGUCAUACUCCAGCUGGAAUGGCGACAAAAUGCACUCUCACAAAUUUCUCCUAACUCAAGUUUUGAAAGAUAAGCUUGAGUUUAAGGGUUUUGUGAUUUCAGAUUGGAAAGCACUUGAGAGGCUUUCUGAUCCUUAUGGCUCAAACUAUCGUGCUUCCAUUUUAUCUGCUGUCAAUGCAGGAGUCGAUAUGAUAAUGGUGCCUUACAAAUAUGAAGUAUUUCUAGCGGAUUUAAUGUCUCUGGUUGAAUCGAGAGAGAUACCAAUGGCCAGGGUUGAUGAUGCUGUUGAAAGAAUUCUCAGGGUGAAAUUUGUUGCUGGUCUAUUCGAAUAUCCCAUGGCUGAGCGGUCUUUGCUAGACACAGUUGGUUGCAAGCUUCACAGAGAACUAGCACGUGAAGCAGUUCGCAAGUCCUUGGUACUGCUGAAGAAUGGAAAGGAUCCAAAGAAACCACUUCUUCCAUUAGAUAGGAAUCCUAGAAAGAUUCUUGUUGCCGGAACUCAUGCUGAUGAUCUUGGAUAUCAGUGUGGAGGGUGGACAAUUACUUGGGCUGGGACCAGUGGCAGAACCACCAUUGGUACGACUAUUCUGGAUGCCGUUAAAGAAGCAGUCGGAGACAAAACGGAAGUGGUGUUCGAGCAAAAUCUGUCACCAGACACCUUUGCUGGUCAAGAUAUCUCUUAUGCCAUUGUAGUUGUGGGUGAACCUCCAUACGUAGAAGGGGGUGGUGAUGAUCCAAACCUCAUAAUUUCCUUCAGAGGGUCUGAAAUCAUAAGCUCAGUUGCUGACAGAGUUCCCACAUUGGCAAUUCUCAUCUCUGGAAGGCCUUUAGUCAUAGAGCCAUCGCUUUUGGAAAAGGUGGAUGCUCUUGUUGCUGCUUGGUUACCUGGGAGCGAAGGGGCCGGAAUCACAGACGUUAUUUUAGGGGAUUAUGAGUUCCAGGGGCGGCUUCCGAUAACUUGGUUUAAAAGUGUCGAUCAACUUCCACUGCGUCAUGGGGAGAACUCCUAUGACCCUUUAUUUCCUCUUGGCUUUGGCUUAACAAGCAAAAACAUGAAGAUCUCAAAUUGACUACGCUCAGACAAGGCAUUGCUUGGAUGAAGGUUUUAAGGGAAAGGAGGCAAGAUGCGGACUCAAAUAAACUACGUACGAUUAAAGGCGGUGGAGAACAAAGGUGCUUUAUCAUGCAACUUGCUUGCAGAAAGUCUUCUCCUUUAUGUAAAGAAAUAAUAUGGCUUAUUCUGUGAAUGAUCUUUUUCUUCUUCUUAAUUUUUAAACUCGUCUCUUAGAUUUAUUUAAAAUAGUGAAGCUGCAUUCAAUAUUUGGAAUUGAUAACGGUCUCAUGCUGCAACUUAUUUGCUGCUGGACAGGAACCAGCUAAGGUUGAUCCUGGAAAGAGGUCCUUUGAGGAGGCCAACAAUAUUUCCAAUGAGAAUGAGUUGGUAGCCAACGUCAUGGUGGCUGAGGAGGACUUAAGAUCUAGUGUUGGUGAAACUGAAGGUGAAUCCCUAAGAGCGAUGAGGUCAGAGGAUGUUGCUCAACAACCAAAAAAUGUUGAGGUAGCUGAUUCAAGUACUACGGAGAGUGAUGAAGGCAAAUCCCAUAAACAGACAGAACCUGAAGCUAUGGUAGGCUUUUCGCAACCAGCCGCGAAGAAGGAUAAUUUAGACGACACCAAAGAUACGGAGGAAAUCAGAAAUUUAGCUGAUGAUGAGGAUGUUCAAGGCCGGUCUAAGAGUGAUCUGAGCAAUGGUGGCUUGGACCAAUCCGAAUGUAGCAAAGGUGAAACCAAAGAAGUGAUUAGACACGAUAUUUAGCUAACAUAUGGAAAUGAUCGCAACACAGAGGCAGAAAACAGCUAGACAGAGCUGGCGUGAUGCGUUUGGUUGCUGGUAGUCUUUAAACUAGUUGAGAAUAUGAAGUCGGCUCUGCUCUUUUGGACGGAAUUGCGAAUUGAAAAGGUUGAUUGGUAGAGAAAUCAGAUGAGGCUUAACCUUUCUACGCAAAUUCAGUAGGUAGAGUUGGAAUUAGAUGUCCUCAACAGUCAUUUUUCUGCAGUCUGAACUUUCUGCUUCUGGAAAUGCUCUUGAAUGGUUUUGUGAGUGUCUUUUCCCUUUUCUUCCUCGUACAAAAUCUAAUCCGAGUGGCCAAAGGCUCUACUUCUACGGCAUAAGUCAGUUUAGCGGGUGGAGAAUUAACCGAAUCUGUUUUCUCGGUUUGCUCAUCUGUUUUCCUCAGAGAGUUAGAGUUGUCCAAAAUUUGGACUGCUCUAUGCAAAUUCUACAUUACAUUGCUGUUGAAAGUCAUGGACAAUGUUGGAAGUGUCCAUGCCCACGGACAAUUUGGUAAUUUUAGCCGACCCCAAGUGAUUAAGACAUAAGGCUCGGUUUGGUUUGG